GACGAACGCUGGCGGCGUGCCUAAUACAUGCAAGUCGAACGCACUGGGGACGGGUGAGUAACACGUGGGUAACCUCCCAUCAGAGGGGAUAACCCUUGGAAACUGGUGCUAAACCGAUACUGAUGGAUGGACCCGCGGUGCAUUAGCUAGUUCGUGAGGUAACGGCUCACCAAGGCCACGAUGCAUAGCCGACCUGAGAGGUGGACCGGCCACACUGGGACUGAGACACGGCCCAGACUCCUACGGGAGGCAGAAGUGGGGAAUAUUGCACAAUGGGCGCAAGCCUGAGGCAGCCAUGCCGCGUGUAUGAAGAAGGCCGUCGGGUUUUAAAGUACUUUCAGCCGGGAGGCGUUACUGACAGAAGAAGCACCGGCUAACUCCGUGCCAGCAGCCGCGGUAAUUC
rnacentral:rRNA from 1 species